rnacentral:rRNA from 1 species
UACCCAGUUCGGAUUGUAGGCUGCAACUCGCCUACAUGAAGUCGGAGUUGCUAGUAAUCGCGGAUCAGAAUGCCGCGGUGAAUGCGUUCCCGGGUCUUGUACACACCGCCCGUCACACCAUGGAAGUUGGGGGCNCCCGAAGUUGCCUAAGAAAUAAGGUACCUAAGGCGAAACCAAUGACUGGGGUGAAGUCGUAACAAGGUACC